rnacentral:rRNA from 1 species
GACGAACGCUGGCGGCGUGCCUAAUACAUGCAAGUCGAACGCAGUGGGGACGGGUGAGUAACACGUGGGUAACCUCCCAACAGAGGGGAUAACACUUGGAAACAGGUGCUAAACCGAUCCUGAUGGAUGAACCCGCGGUGCAUUCGCUAGUUGGUGAGGUAACGGCUCACCAAGGCUAAGAUGCAGAGCCGACAUGGUAGCGUGAUUGGCCACAUUGGGACUGCAGCACGGCCCAGACUCCUCCGGGAGGCAGCAGUAGGGAAUCUUCGGCAAUGGACGAAAGUCUGACCGAGCAACGCCGCGUGAGUGAAGAAGGUUUUCGGAUCGUAAAACUCUGUUGUUAGAGAAGCGGUAUCUAACCAGUAAGCCACGGCUAACUACGUGCCAGCAGCCGCGGUAAUUC